UACGAGGGGGGCAAGCGUUGUUCGGAAUUACUGGGCGUAAAGCGCGCGCAGGCGGUCUUCCAAGUCAGUGGUGAAAGCCCGGAGCUCAACUCCGGAACUGCCAUUGAAACUGUGAGACUUGAGGAUGAGAGAGGUGAGUGGAAUUCCCAGUGUAGAGGUGAAAUUCGUAGAUAUUGGGAAGAACACCGGUGGCGAAGGCGGCUCACUGGCUCAUUUCUGACGCUCAGGCGCGACAGCGUGGGGAUCAAACAGG
rnacentral:rRNA from 1 species